GUUAUGGACCCACCUGAUCCCUUGCCGAACUCAGUAGUGAAACGUAAUAGCGCCGAUGGUAGUGUGGGGUCUCCCCAUGUGAGAGUAGUACAUCGCCAGGC
rnacentral:rRNA from 1 species